rnacentral:rRNA from 1 species
AGAAUCAACGCUGGCGGCGUGCCUCAGACAUGCAAGUCGAACGCGAAAGUUUCCUUCGGGAAACAAGUAGAGUGGCGCACGGGUGAGUAACACGUAGGUAAUCUACCUUUGGAUGGGGAAUAACAAUCGGAAACGGUUGCUAAUACCGCAUAAUGCAGCGGCACCUAAUGGUGACAGUUGUUAAAGCGGGGGAUCGAAAGACCUCGCGUCUGAAGAGGAGCCUGCGGCGGAUUAGCUAGUUGGUAAGGUAAUGGCUUACCAAGGCUACGAUCC